AUUUUUUUGUUUUUCUGUGUGUCGAUCUUAUCUUCUUCUCUCUUCUAGAGUCGUCUAAUCUAAAUUGAGAGGGUGGGUUGCUUAGUCUCUUUUCUACAGCUAUGAUCUAAAUUGGGAGUGUGAUCUGGAUUUCUAUAAUCAAGAAGCAAUCCACUUUCUCUGCGGUCGUUGAAGGAGGAUAGAUAGGGUUGUGUUGUGCGGCGCUGUUGCGCGCGGUUUUCAUUUGUUCAGUUUUUUCAAUUAUAGAUCUUUGAAAACGCUCUCUUGCGGAAGGCGAUUUCAGUCCUUGGGUUUGACGGUUUGGCUAAAGUUCAUCGUUGAAGCAAAGAAAAGAAAAGAAGCAGAAAAGAAGAAGAAGAAAAAGGAGAAGGAAACGGGAAGAAUUUCACUGUUAUUCAAGUCAGCACGAUUUUUUUGGGAGGGAUCUUUCAACAGGAGAAGGGAGAGACAGAAACACUGACAGCGAAGUCUAUAGCAAGGUUUGGAUCCGGUUUGGGAGGGAUCUUUCAGCAGGACAAGAGGAUAAUUGUGUUUGGGUAGGUGAUCUGCUACAACUAAACCAAUCGUGCUUGGGUUUUGAAGAUAAUUGUCCUAGAUCAACUAGAAAACAGAAGAAGUGUUGCUGGGUUUCGGAUUUCAGUGAUUGAAGUUUUCAGUAUUGUGGACUGGAGUAUGUCCCUGUUUUUGCUUUGUUGAUUGUUUUGCCGCAUCCAGCAUCGACUUAAUUAG